AUUUAAAAAAAUGUUGCAAAUUAAAAGUGGGUACAAACUAAAAAUAUAAAUAUAUGAUACAGUGUUUAGGCAUAAAACAUAAAUAUACCAUAUGUAAUUUUUCUAUCAUUGAUUAAAUAUACAAUAUCACGUGACGGUAUACAUAUGGGUACAAACACAAAUAAAUUUUUUUAAAAUAUAGGCAAAAAAAGAAACCAAUAUAUGGGUACAAAUUAAAAAUGAAAAAAAAAUUGGUACAAAUUACAAAUAGGUACAAACAAAAAAUAAAAAUAUAUGCUAAAAAAAUUUAGCCAUAAAUAUAAAUAUACUAACUGUAACAUUUUUAACACUAAAGGAAUAUAUUUAAAAAUAAAAAUAUUUUAUUAUUCAAAUAAUUAAUGAUGUUAUUAAUACCCAAGGACCUUGAUUAAAAAUUGAAAAUGAAUAGGAUUUUAAUCAAUGGAGUAGCAAAAACAAAGAUGUGAACCUAAUUUCUCCAAGAAAAAAAUAGCGCUGGUUUAUUUCAUCUAAAACACUAAGCGUCCAAUUUGUUUCCGCUCAAACUCUAUAUGUCGUUGGGGGCGUUGCAAACAAAUUGUUUAAGACAACAUAUAUAACUAUUUGGGACAUUAUUUGCAACAUUAUUUAUAGCAGUGUCGCAAAUAUUUUCACGCUAACAAAUGCCACACCAAUUUUCCCUUAUUUGUGACGGCAGUGUAAUUUGACGCAAAAAAAAAGUGUCACAAAAAGGCAUUUUUCUUGUAGUAACUUUGAAUUUUCUUUCAAUAAUGGUGUCCUGAAGUGCCAUAACCAACUUUGAUAUAUAUCCGCUUUCCAAUGGUCUUGAACGAAGAUUGAGUGAUAGAGUUAAAAUGAAGAAAUUGUUGUAGGCAUAAUUUACAGAACAAUUAUGGAGGCCUUAGAGAGAGAGGGGGUGCGGCAAUAGAGAUAUGUGUAAUUGUGGGUGUGUGUUAUCUCACCUCAUUGUGCCUUUAUUUAUAGUAGUAGGAAGGGUAAAACCUUUCCCUUUAGGAUUACAACAUUUAAUAGGUAAUCUAAUCCUAAUAGGAAUAUAAGAUACAUUCCCAUAUUUUAUAGGAUUUACACAAUCAAAUUCCUAUUCUAAAUAGGACUGCAACACUCCCCCUUGAGUGUGUAAAUACUCAAGUAAAUGGCGCAUCAAGUCUUCAUUGAUGAAGUACGUACAGUUGAUGAAGUCGUCAGCACAAUGGGCAAAUGCGAGUCUCAAAUCAACAGAAGAAUGCAUAAAAAGUAAAACUCACAAAACCUCGCUAUGGUAAAACCCAAGAUGGGAGAAAAACCCAUAGUCUAAGGAGAAAAGUGAGAAGUUGCAUUAAGUCAAAACUAUACGUCUUUUGGACGCAAGUAUAAGAGCUCUCAAGGGUAUGAUCAGCCCAGGAUAGGUGCCUCGUUAAAACCUAGUUAGGUAGCAAAAACCCAGUGGGAAAAAUGUUCCUAAUCGUAGGGAAAAAGAGUACAUUAAGAUCAAGUGAGUAUACUUCUGGAAACUCCUCCUGAGUUUGACAUAACUUCCAAAUGAGAACUACAAGCAUUGCAUAUGAGUAGUUAGGCAUACCAAUUCCUCAGACAAGCUUCUGGAAGGUUGACUUCAGCAGUGACAUCGUGUAGAGGUCGGCAAGGUUGUCUGGGAUCGGUUUGUAUGACUUCAAUCUCCUGAUGCUUUGCUGAUGUAGAUGUAGACGUAAUAUGUCUUGAUGUUGACUUCGUUGAUGUAUCAUGGCUUGGUCGGGUUGAUACAUGUGGCAUAAUCUUCAUGGAUCGUCGUUGGGACUCAACGAUGGAUGAAAAUAUAGCAAGUACUUCGAAUAUGCUCAACAAGAACUCCUAACCAUGUCUCACUUGUGGCAUAGUGAAGUAAGUUGAGUCUUGGAACGAUUCGAAGAUUUCGCAACUAGGGUCCUAUCGUGGACCUCCAAGAUAUUGCGAUAUCCCUAACGGUAAAGACAUAACCAUUCGGGGAUUUUGCUUUGUGCGGGUUUGAUAAGUAACCAACGUCAGCAUAACAAACAAGGCAAGCAUCAUUUCGAGGAUCAAGGGGGUUAGAUCAGCUCAAGAUGCGUUGGGAUUUGCCCACGUAAUACCUUCAGGGUACGUCUUUAAUACUAAUUCAGUGGUUGCGUGUAGGCGCGAUGCUGCAUCUUUACCAAGAUCAACAGCGAAUGAGAUGUCCUGUCUAAACACAAUGAGCUAAGUACAACGAAGUGCAAAGUUGAACUUUUAGAUAUGGAAUUUCGGAUUCCAUAGACUCUUCAAGAGUCUCAUUUGCAUAUAACGUAUGGACGAUCAUGGGUAUACUCAAAGGUGACACAUUCCGGGUGUAGUUCAACUCGUAGACCGAAAUACCGUCAGAACAAUGCUUCAACUUCAGGUCAAGGCAUAAAUGAGUUUUCCCAAGAUCCUUCAUCUCAAAUUCCAUCUUCAGGUGCGAGGCUGUUUUCUCAAGCUCUUCCAGAGUCUUAAUGAGAUUCGUGUUAACGACAUAAACUGUAACACUAGCAAUUUGGAAUAAGACUUCAUAGUUUAACACGCAAGGGCAUAAUUCAUAUCCUUGACUGAUCAAAUAAUCACUUAGAUGGGUGUACCACAUCCGUCGAAUUUUUCAAUCCAUAAGUGAACUCCUCAAAACGAGUUAAGAGGGUGUUCCGUGGUUUGGAACUAUUUGAACCAGUCCAUGUAAUUCUUCGGGAACUUACACGUAAAUCUCCGUAUUUAUAUCCCCAUGGAGAAAUACUAACCACAUUUCAUAAUGCUGCUAUCAAUCACAUGACGUUUUGAGAGAAACCUUGUGCCGUAAAGCGUGCAUCAUAUCGCAUUAUUUCAUUCAUCUCAUAACGUUUCCUUUCCCACUUGUAACUCAACAGGGUUACCUUGGGCAAUGUAGGAACGACAGGUCCAAUACACACUUUGGUAAGGAAUUUGACCUGGAUUGUAACUUUAGUUGUCCAAUCAGUUCUACGUUGUCACUUAAUCAACGGAACAUGGUUCGAUCGUUGCAUUUCAUUUAUGUCGGUAGCUACCAUAUAAGUGAAAACAUCAUCGAUGAUAAUCUCAUUUCAAUUCCAUUUUCUCAUCCAAACUAGUAUACUGGACCAAGAACUUCAAGUCUCGGGAGUAAUCCGGAUUAAUCUCAUGAGAUGGAAAUGAUUUGAGACAGCGAUUGAGUUUAGAUUCAUUGUUAUGCCGUGUCUUCCUCUUCCUGGGAAGUGAAUCCUACGAACCGAAUGAUAUGUUGUGCUCCAGGCCAAGACAUAUUGAUUGGUUAUCCACCGGUGUACCGAACCGUCUAACAGGGGCGUCCAAACCGUCCAACAUGGGCGGCACACCCUCCGGGGAUGUUGACUGGACGUCCGUUAAGUACGUCUAUCCUUGCAGGCAUGUUUGCAGCUGGUAUAUGAUAUCGUCACUUUAGCUAGAUCAGAGGAAUGCGUCUGGAGCAACAUUCUGAAAUCUAGAAUUCGUCGCACUUGUUUAUCACACUUGUGCGGUAUGGGGAUCGAGAUGAGACAUAGUGGGCAACGUCCAUGCAAAUUUGUGUUAUUCUACAAGAAUGUUGACUUUCUUAUCUCCCCCUAACGGCUGGAAGACUAUCUCAUUAAAGUGACAACCCGUAAAUAAGCGGUAAAGAGAUUGUGUGCAAGGGCUCGAAGAUAGCUAGUGUGAAGGAGAAUCAUGAUCGACAAAAGAUACAUAUCUUUCUUUGAAGACCCAUGGUGGUACGUUGCGAUGGCGCAACUUGGCACAUGGAAUGCGCACCCAAAUGCGUAAAUACGAAAGUCGUCAGGUUCGUACCCAGUAACCAACUAUAACGUCAUAUAGGUUGGGUGGUAAUGGGCCUCAAGGCGGACCAACAUAGUUGCGUGUAAGAUUGCAUAGUCCUAGGCAAAGACUGAAAACUUGGUACGUUUACCAAAAUUCAGGCGAUCAUUUAAAUUGCGCUUUAUGAUCGCUAGGCUAGGCUAUUUGGGGUGAACAUGGGAAUGCGAUGUUCAAUUAAAAACCCAAAAUGACAUGCAAUACUUUAUCGAAAAUCAUCGAUAUAAACUCUCUAGCAUUAUCCAGUCUUCCAGACCUUAAGGGAUAAGUAGGGUGGUAAACCCUUAAUCGGCCAAGAGGUUUAGCAGUAAUGUGUGUGGACAAACAUGUGACCAGUUUGUCGAUUCAUCAACCAAAACCAUAAAUAUUUAUAUGGUCUGCAUUUUGGUUGGAUUAGUCCACAUAUAUUCCCUUGAAUCCACUGCAAAAAUGGAGUCGUGUCGUAUCUUUGCAAGAAAUGAUAUAGAAAAUCAAUUUCCCUAAUGAGCAGGAUUGGCAAAGUGUGCUUGUAGGCACAAAAUCCUUACUUCAGAUAAGGAGAUGCGUUGUAGCAUCAUUGUUCGACCUAAGUGUCCUAAAAAGUCGUGUCAAAGCAAGUAAACUGCUCAAUCACCAGGCUAUAGGCCGGCCACAUGUGGUGUAUUCCCAGUUGGGAGACAACCCAUUGGCCCCAAAUCAAAGCUUCAGGCUCAUUUUUGGAGGUGGUGCAAAGAUAUUUCACUCUAUUUUCUUCAGUGGUUUCAUUUAUGAUCAUUGUCAUCUCGAAUAUCCUUAAAAACUCAACGUCAGGAAGAAUUUAAGGUCAUUUAAAUGAUAAUUCAGUAUCAUUCAUACAACGAGGAGCGUGCCAAUGCUCUUAAUCAGGUUGGAUAGACCUGAAGUCGUUGUUAGAGAUGUGAUUUAGGUGUAAAGUUAGUGUGCGUAGUACGCAUUCAUCCAGACAACUAACUUGCCCACAUUCCUACCUAAUCACGUGUUUAAUUGAAUCGAUCACAUGUAUUAAGAAACAUGAUUCAAUUAACUCAUAUUCGAGGACAAUAUCAAUAAGAUUAUCCAUAAGUAAAACAUACACCAAACUUGAAUCCAAGAACAUGGAAAAAUGUUCACAAAGUAAAUUUACUAAGGGGAUUCGGCCAAUAAGGUCAUCCAUGUCGAAAUUUUGCUCUGCCAACGAUGUUCGGUGGAGCAAAAUCAAUCUCACAUAUUGACUACUAGAAUGGUACUCCUCAACAACAUUGGUAGGGGUACGAACAGGUGCAUAACCAAUGAUCUGUUCCAUCAAGAUGGGAGUAGAUUCUUGCAAGGUUGAGGUUCGAGAAUAUUAUCCCUUAUUCUUGAAGUUUUAGGUCUUAUGUACCAAGGAUCAUGUUUCGGGCAUGAUGCCACACAUUGGCAGGCCCUAAUUAUACUAUAUGUUUGUGAACACAAACUCGAAAUUGUAUUGUGAAAGAAUAUGUCAUUCAGUGUAUCCCUGUCGAAGCAGUGCAUCACCAUUUGGUUAGGUUUUGACCGAACUGGGUCGAGCCAUUCGGUAGACUCUAGCCGAACUGGGUCCAUACCUUUCUCUCACGUUUGUGGUAGUAAUCAGAUCCGAGAAUUUGGUAAAUUUCCACUUUCUACAUUGUUGCUUCAGAAGCAAGUUAGAAACAUGGAAUGACGAGAAAAGUAUUCUCCAGUCAAGAUUCAAUCAGAUUUAUAAAAUUCAGAAUUGUAAUCAUUCAUGGACGUAAUCAUGGUUUGCUGCGGGCAAUUUCUUUCAUGAUUAGACGGUCUAUAGAAGUGAGCCAAAGAGCCAUGGAAUCCUCAUUCGGGGAGUAUUUCCAUUUGUAAUGCUUUGAGCAUAAGUCUUCGAAUGAAGAUUAUGGUGGAGGCUUAUUCAGCUCUUCCUUGCCAUUGUUGGCAUCAAUGGUUUCUCAGCUUCUUGAUAGUCAAGUGGAGAUUCACGUCUUGUACCCCACCUAAAGUGGUUUCUAUUAGAAAACGUCCAAAUUAGGAAAAUCAAACUUGUGACGGUUCGACAAUCCACUGAAUUUGAGGGAACAAGAUUGUGAUUGGUGCUAUGGGAAUGAAUCAUCCAUAAGCAUCAAAGUUAGAACAUUCGAGUUCUAAGACAUGGUUUUCAUGAAAAACGUCGGGUUUUCAUGGGUGUAUUGUUUUAUGAAAUCUUCGGGUUUCAAAUGCACUAAAUUUGAAACUACAGGCUCAAUUUAGUUUAUGAACAUUUAGUUCAUAAAAGAGAGGUUCCUGCAAGAAACUCAGAAGGCAAUAUACUAACUUAGUGUAGUGCAUUUGAGUUGUCUUCAGGAACUCAAGUGUGAAAGCUUCGUUACUACGAAAGUAUGUGAUAGUUCAAAGAAGAGAAAUAAAUUAUUGAAUCGUUAAUGUCCAAAAGUGAUCUUCAGGUCAAUAAUUUUGGAUUCAUUAUCAGAUUAAUGGACUGCAUGUAACUUUUAAUUAAUUCAAUAGAUCGGGACCAUUUGGGGUUGAUCGUAAAAGCAAAAUAAUAUUAAAAUAAUAUUAUUGGAUCCAAAAUAGAGCCCCAAAAAUAAUUGGGCUUAAUGCCGGGGGUUAAGAGGCACGGGUUGGGUGCCUUAAGCAUAAGGCGAGGCCCAAAUGUUCCUUUGGUGGUGGCUGCAGGCCACGGGUGAGGAAUGGGAGACCCUAGCCGCAGCUGGGUCGUGUUUUGGGCCACAAGGGAGUGCACAGACAGGUCUAGCGCAAGCUGGCCUGUGGGUUAUCACGGGGAUCCCAGCGAAGGCUAGUUGCGUGAAAACAGCCCCAUAGUGACUGCAGGUCACGAGCUUGGGUAUAGGUGGCGCAGUGACAAGCCCAGCAUAUGUUGGCUAUAUGUAUGCCGGCCAGAGCAACAAAACCCAGCAACCAAAAAGGUUGCAGCGUGUGUAUGGGAGGACAGCCCAGACAAUUGGGCAGGUUGGAUGGCUGCGGGCCAAGGCCAGUGUGCAUAGGCUCAGGGCUGCAGGCCCUACCGAGGUAAAAUCCAGGCCUAGGCCUGGUGAUUAUUUGCACAAUGAUGGUGCGGUGGUGUGUCGCACCAUGUCCUGAUUCCCCCUUUUUUUUUUUUCAAAUCCUUUAGGGUUUAGGAAAACCCGAAACAUGCUUCUAAUUUAAUUGAAUACUUUGACUCACAAAUUCCACAUAGCAAUUAUUGCGUAAUGUAUGAAACAAAUAUAUAUAUUGACCAAUAUAUAAACAUAUACAAUAUAUAUAUCGGAAGGUAAAUAUAAAUGUAGGGGGUUCAUGCAUCAUGAGGAAUGUUUUCAUGCUUCAUGGGUCGUUUCAAAUAUCUUCCUUUAUUUUAAGCGUGCCUGAGUAGCAAAAAACAACAAAAGCCUUUGAAUUUGUAGAGGAUCCUUCUUGAAAGCCGGAAUUCUCCAAUGCGUUGUAUUACGUUCAACACAGAAAAAUUAAAUUGAAUCAAUAGCAUGUAGAUCAAUUUAAUAAAAUAAUAAAUUAAUCAUGAAAAGAAUGAUUAAAACGUAAUACUCUCCAAAUUGAAGAUCAAACUCUCUUGUUAGCGUAGCGUCAAGAGCGUGUUGAUAACGUGUUAUAGGCAUAAUUUACUGAACAAUUAUGGAGGCCUUAGAAAGAGAGAGGGGUGCGGCAAUAGAAAGAAGAAUAGAGAGAUGUGUAAUUAUGGGUGUGUAUUAUCUCACCCCAUUGUGCCUUUAUUUAUAGUAGUAUGAAGGGUAAAACCUUUCCCUUUAAGAUUACAACAUUUAAUAGGUAAUCUAGUCCUAAUAGGAAUAUAAGAUACAUUCCCAUAUUUCCUAGGAUUUACACAAUCACAUUCUUAUUCUAAAUAGGACUGCAACAGAAAUGUCAAUGUUGUUUAGUUUUUUAUGAUAAUUUUGUCGAAUUACUGAAAACUAAAGUAUAUUUGUGUCUUCAGCACUAAACUCACUCACUAGAAGCCAAUAAGUAUUCUAGCAAAUCAUAGAAAGUCUUAAAAACGUUUGUGGUCAGAUAAAACAGGGCCCUGUUGAGAAUUCAUGCUCUCCGACGGCCGAGAGGGCACUGAAACCUCACAACAGGAACAAGCAUAGCUGCACAACGCAUACUGUCAACCCAAGAGCUCAAAACAUUUAUGAUGCCUAACAAACAAAAUAAACAAAAAAAUGAAAAAUAGAGAGAGGAAAAUGUUGUGUGUGCGCUCAUUGAUCUUGACCCUCUUGAUCA
rnacentral:lncRNA from 1 species